CCUAGCUGUUGGAAACUGCCUAGGUUGCAUUAAAGCUAAGCAAGUGUUACACUACUGGGAGAAAAUCAGCUAGGAGCUGGAGGGCAUUCUGGGCCUGGUUAAAGCCAAAUUUGUGUUAACUAUAAUAGAGUGCCAACAUA
rnacentral:snoRNA from 1 species